UAAGACGUAGGGCGCGAGCGUUGUCCGGAUUUAUUGGGCGUAAAGAGCUCGUAGGCGGCUUGUCGCGUCGACUGUGAAAACCCGCGGCUCAACCGCGGGCCUGCAGCCGAUACGGGCAGGCUAGAGUUCGGUAGGGGAGACUGGAAUUCCUGGUGUAGCGGUGAAAUGCGCAGAUAUCAGGAGGAACA
rnacentral:rRNA from 1 species